rnacentral:rRNA from 1 species
GUAGGUGGCAAGCGUUGUCCGGGAAUUAUUGGGCGUAAAGCGCGCGCAGGCGGUUCUUUAAGUCUGAUGUGAAAGCCCACGGGCUCAACCGUGGAGGGUCAUUGGAAACUGGAGAACUUGAGUACAGAAGAGGAAAGCGGAAUUCCACGUGUAGCGGUGAAAUGCGUAGAGAUGUGGUGGAACACCAGUGGCGAAGGCGGCUUUCUGGUCUGUAACUGACGCUGAGGCGCGAAAGCGUGGGGAGCAAACAGGAUUAGAUACCCUGGUAGUCCACGCCGUAAACGAUGAGUGCUAAGUGUUAGGGGGUUUCCGCCCCUUAGUGCUGCAGCUAACGCAUUAAGCACUCCGCCUGGGGAGUACGGCCGCAAAGGCUG